CCAGUAGAUGAAGAAGAUCUGGUGGCAUAUAUAUUGAAUGGUUUAGAUGAUGAUUUUGAACCUGUUAUCUCUGCAUUGGUGGCAAGGGUUGAACCCAUCACCAUGACAGAAUUAUAUUCUCAGUUGCUGAAUUUUGAGA